rnacentral:lncRNA from 1 species
CCCCCAAAAUCCCUCCCUCUCUAUCCUUUCUUCUUCUUCCCCGUCUGCUCCCUGAACGAAACCCCACCACAAAGGCAGCAACAAGAAACCCAGCAAAACCCACCUUUCAAAUUCUCAUCGUUUUUUUCCCAAUCCUUUUUUUUUUUUUUAGCUACAAAUCAGCCCAGCAAAAGUACUAAGGAGGACUGGGUUCGCUGGAAGAACUGAGGAGGAAGAAGAAGAAGAAUAUGAUGGAAUUUGAACCAUAACCAUUUAGUACAAUGAUAUAGUAUUAUUUUGAAUUCAGCGAACCAUAACCAUUUAGCUACAAUCGGGUUCUUCUUCUUCUUUCUUCCCUGUAUUCUUCUUCUUCUUCUUCAAAUCUUUGAAUUUCCCAAUCCUUCUCUUUCUUCCCGUAUUCUUCUUCUUCUUCUUCAAAUUCCAUCGUUUUUUUUUUUAGUUUCUGCUUUGCAGGUUCGCCGACUAAGGAAUUGGGUUUUGGGAUUUGUGGGAAGGAGGGGGAAGAAUAAAGGGAGGGGAAACGAAGAAGAAGAUGUUCACCUCUGUUGACUGCGUGGUGGUGGGCGGUGGAAUCAGUGGGCUCUACGUCGCUCAGGUGCUGGCUACCAAGCACGGCGACGCUGUUCUGAUUGUCAUAGUCACGAAGGCUAAGGACCAGGUGGGAGGCAACAUCAUCAUCAUCGAGAAGGACGGCUAUGCUAGAGCAGAAACAUGGCUGCGUUUGGAGAGGAAGGACCCGACUAAACUGUCCCAUGGUUUUGGAGAGGAUAAACAAGUGGGUGUUUACCGUAUAAAGUAGGUGGGACCAGAUUGUUUAAUCCGUUGGCUAUUUAAUACAAUUGGACACCAAACACCGUACUCCGUAUUAUUAGUACUAUCCGAUGUCUUAUACGGUGUGCCAAACGGGGCCUUAAAGAUGAUUGACAAAAUUGCUAUUCAAAAGUUUCUGUUAUUUUUUUUCCUUUAACUUUUUACCACAUUUUAGCAAUAACCCAUAAUUUUUCUAUGGGUGCCUAUGCUCUUUGCCAUUUGAAUUUAGUUUUAUGAAUAUUUACAUAAAUAUCAUCAAUCUGGUUUGUGCUUGACCAAUUUUAACUAGUACAUAAUCUACAUCUUAUGUCUCCUUUGCCUUAACGUUGGAGUGAUUGCCUCAAUUUUCUAUAGGAUGGACUGGGAAGUCCACUACUACAAUAUUAGCUUUAGAUAGUGGAUGAUGGUGGCGGAUUUAGAAAAAUAAUGUCGGAUAAAUUAUAUCUGACAAAUCAUUUAAUUAGUGAUGGAUAUUAGAAAAAUCUUGUUGGUUAUAUUCAACAUAAAUUCCUGACGGAUAAUUACUAAUGGAUAUUAUAAAACUCAUGUCGGUUAUAACCGACAGUAUUUUUGAAUUUAAAAAAAAAAUAUUUUUGACAGAUUCUGGCGGUUUUUAAGUUACUGGUGGCGGUUUUUAGGUUAACGGUGGCGUUUAUAACCGACAACAAUUGAUUAUUUUAUUAUUUUAGUAUUCUGGCGGUUAUUAUUUUAGUAUUGUGUUGGUUAUAAUUGAUAAAAAUUCACUUUACACCAAACACUUUUCAAUUUGUUGUUCUUUCAGAUUUCGUUUUCUUCCUCAUCUUCAUUUUACUCGUUUUCUCUUCAUCUUCAAUCUAUCUCUUCUUCUCCCCUUAAUUUGUAAGUUUUUCAAUUCUUUUGCUUCAUAUUUUAAAAUGUUAUAUUGAUUAUAAAUAAAUCAACAAAUGGUUUAAAUAUUUUUUUUUCACAUACGGUCCCGUUACCUAAUCUCUGAAUGUUUUUUUUUUUUUUGUGAUUUUUUACACAUGCUAUAUCGGAGUAUAUACAAACAUAUUUGACGGUUGGAUCGUUGAAACUAGUUUCGUAGAAUGCAUAUCCUAUCAAAUUGAUAGAUUUAACAAACACUUAAGAGUUAAUGUUAUACUUCCAUUAAGUAUAAAAGAUUAUCCACUAGUGUAAAUAUUUUAAAUUGAAGAUCAAAUUCGUUCAAUGCAUUCUAAUAGGGUCGAGGAGUGUAGCUGUAAAAAAUCAACAAAAUCAUAGCUAAAAUAACCGUUAAAUUGUGAUUUUUCAUUUAUAACUGUCGAAAACUUUUGUUUUGUUACAUAAUCUCUGAAUGUUUGUUUUUCGUGAUUUUUAAGAUAUACAAUCUCGGAGUGUGUACAAACAAGUUUGACGGUUAGAUCAUUGAAAAAAGUUUCGCAGAAUGUGUAUCACGUCAAAAUGGUAGAUUAAAUAACUUAAGAGUUAAUGUUAUACUUCCAUUAAGUAUAAAAUAAGAUUUUGUGGUAUCCACUAAUGUAAAUAUUUUAAAUUGAAGAUCAAAUUUAUUCAUUGCAUUGUUAUAGGGUCGAGGAGUGUAGCUGUAAAAAAUAAUUAAAAUUGGAGCUAAAAUAACCGUUAAAUUGUGAUUUUUAGUUUAUAAUCGUCGAAAACUUUUGUUCUAUUACCUAAUCUCUGAAUGUUUGUUUUCUGUGAUUUUUUAGAUAUGCGAUCUCGGAGUGUGUACAAACAAGUUUGACGGUUAGAUCAUUGAAAAAAGUUUCGUAGAAUGUGUAUCGCGUCAAAACGGUAGAUUAAAUAAACACUUAAGAGUUAAUGUUAUACUUCCAUUAAGUAUAAAAUAAGAUUUUGUGGUAUCCACUAGUGUAAAUAUUUUAAAUUGAAGAUCAAAUUUAUUCAUUGCAUUCUUAUAGGGUCGAGGAGUGUAGUUGUAAAAAAUAAUUAAAAUCGGAGCUAAAAUAAACCGUUAAAUUGUGAUUUUUCAUUUAUAACCGUCGAAAACUUUUGUUAUGUUACCUAAUCUUUGAAUGUUUGUUUUUUGUGAUUUUUUACGUAUGCCAUCUCAGAGUGUGUACAAAUAAGUUUGAUGGUUGGAUCGCUGAAAAAAGUUUCGUAGGAUGCAUAUCGCGUCAAAAUGGUAGAUUAAACAAAUACUUAGAGUUAAUAUUAUACUUCCAUUAAGUAUAAAAUAAGAUUUUAUGGUAUCCACUACUGUAAAUAUUUUAAAUUGAAGAUCAAAUUUAUUCAUUAUAUUCUUAUAGGGUCAAGGAGUGUAACUAAAAAAAAUCAUCAAAAUCGGACCUAAAAUAACCAUUAAAUUGUGAUUUUUCGUUUAUAACCGUUGAAAACUUUUGUUAUGAUACCUAAUCUCUGAAUGUUUAUUUUUUGUGAUUUUUUACGUAUGCAAUCUCAGAGUGUGUACAAAUAAGUUUGACGGUUGGAUCGUUGAAAAAAGUUUCGUAAGAUGCAUAUCGCGUCAAAACGGUAGAUUAAACAAACACUUUGAGUUAGUAUUAUACUUCCAUUAAGUAUAAAAUAAGAUUUUGUGGUAUCCACUAGUGUAAAUAUUUUAAAUUGAAGAUCAAAUUUAUUCAUUGCAUUCUUAUAAGGUCGAGGAGUGUUGCUGUAAAACAUCAUUAAAAUCGAAGCUAAAAUAACCGUUAAAUUGUGAUUUUUCAUUCAUAACCGUAAAAAACUUUUGUUUUGUUACCUAAUAUCUGAAUGUUUUUUUUUGCGAUUUUUUACGUAUGCGAUCUUGUAGUAUCUACAAACAAGUUUGACGGUUAGAUCAUGGAAUCUAUUUUCGCAGAAUGCAUAUCUCCGUUAAAUUUGCCUAAAUUUUGAAGUGGGAAAAGUAAUUUGUGUUAAAUUUUUAUUUAUGUUUUUCAAGUAUUGAUUAGACAAUAUUUAGUUUGUGUGAUGACAUUUUCAUUGUACAAUUCUCUUUUUGUUUCUUUAUCGCAUAUUUUACAUAGGUUAUUAUCUAUUAAACCAAAAGUGUAAAAAUUAUCUAUUAAACCAAACAAUUAUUUAUUUAAUUUUUAAAAACGUAUUCUAUUUAAAUACAUAUUAUUUAUUUAUUUACUAAACCAAACAAUUAUUAUUUUAUUUUUUUAAAUCGUAACAAAAUUUUGGGGGGGGGAAUUUAAAAUUUUCGGAGGGAAUUUUGGGGGGAUUUUUGCCGUCAUUUUGUUUCUGUCGG